GCUCCUCUGGAGAGACCAAAUCUGCAAAUACUACGGUACUGACUGAACUUAUAAUCAAGUUGAAUGUCUGGCAGAGUUUGGGAAUUCAGUUGCUGUCAUACUAAAUAAAGGCUUUAAUCUGGAGAAGAGGAGAUUAAAAAGAUCAUUUUAAGUUAAAGGAUGGGGGUUCAUUUAAUGAAAUCUCCAACUACUCAAAACUGGAGUGUGUCUGUGGAAAUAUCUAAUGGAGAGCCAAAGCAAUCUCACCAUUGUGGAGUCCAAAGUACCCAGGAUGACAUCUUCUGAAUCUCUUCCACUGACCUGGUUUCCCUAAAAUAUUUCCUGGCAGAACCAUGUGAAUGAGAGCAUGACCAUUAGAAAAAAGGCAUUUUAAAACUCUGGUCUUUUUUCAAAUUAAAAACAUACAAGACCAUUUUUAUAGUCAUAUAGCUAACUUUUGAUUAUUCAGGAUCAUGGGGAUAAAAGUUAGGGUGACCAAACCAGGAUCAACAGGGAAAAGAGGAAAGGAACCAACUGUAAAAUUCAUUUGUAAAAAUCAGA